AGCAGCCGCGGUAAUUCCAGCUCCAAUAGCGUAUAUUAAAGUUGUUGCAGUUAAAAAGCUCGUAGUUGAAUUUCGGGAUCAAUAUGUUGGUCGUGCCUUGGUACGUACUGGCGUCAUUGGUUUCUACCUUCUGAAGAACCUCGAUGUCAUUAAUUUGGUGUCUUGGGGAAUCAGGACUGUUACUUUGAAAAAAUUAGAGUGUUUAAAGCAAGCUCACGCUUGAAUACAUUAGCAUGGAAUAAUGAAAUAGGACGUUUGAUUCUAUUUUGUUGGUUUCUAGGAUCGACGUAAUGAUUAAUAGGGAUAGUUGGGGGCAUUAGUAUUCAAUUGUCAGAGGUGAAAUUCUUGGAUUUAUUGAAGACUAACUACUGCGAAAGCAUUUGCCAAGGAUGUUUUCAUUAAUCAAGAACGAAAGUUAGGGGAUCGAAGACGAUCAGAUACCGUCGUAGUCUUAACCAUAAACUAUGCCGACUAGGGAUCGGAUGAUGUUAAUUUUUUAAUGACUCA
rnacentral:rRNA from 1 species